CGAAUAAGUGAAUAAAGAGAGCUGUCCGUCGACAGUCCAGUAAAGAUUGUAAAACUGUCAUGGAAUUGCUCUCUUUGUAUGAUAUUCG
rnacentral:pre_miRNA from 1 species